GUAUGGGACCUAACUGUAGCAAGACGUGUGAAGAACGACACUGCGGCAAUGUUUCUGCAUCUUGUGAUAUACAGAAUGGGUCUUGCGAUGGAGGAUGUCAAGCAGGCUGGAGUGGAACUGACUGUACUCAGGCAUGCAGGCGAGGUUUCACGUAUGGUCCUAACUGUGACAUGUUAUGCAGAGCGCGACACUGUGUUUCUUCAAAGAUGCAUUCAUGUCAUGCAGGUACUGGAUCCUGUCUUGGAAGAUGUGAGCCAGGAUGGAAGGGGUUCGACUGAACACAAGCAUGUCAGAGAGGAGUGACAUAUGGUUCUAACUGUAGACAUCUAUGUGCUGAACGUAGCUGUUUGAAAAGCUCAACAUGUGAGGUGACCACGGGGAUGUGCAUCGGGGGUUGUCAGCCGGGCUGGAGACACGCAGACUGUUCUGAAGAAUGUGACAGGACAUAUGGUGUGAACUGUAGUCUAGGUUAUAGCCAGAGAAACUGUAAGAAAGACAACUCUCCGUGUGAUCAUCUGACUGGAGCGUGUGUUGGUGGAUGUAAAGCUGGAUGGAAAAGCAUAACAUGCACUGAAAAAUUAUUCUGAGAACUCGAUCAAAAGUCGCAAAAUCGACUAUAACCUCCUUCACUGUAAAAUUGUGAUAACGAAAAGCAAACCACUACAGUGCCAGUGCCUGCUUCAGAUGCAGUUUAUGAUGUUUGCGCCGAUAAAGGCGUUGGCAUUUCUCAAGAUGAACAACCUAAGGGCUUCCGUAAGCAAACCGAACCAGCAUCUCCAGCAGAACCUGAUUACCAGAACACACCACGGAUGGCAGAAGACAACAAACCAGAGACGAACACGUACGAGGUGCUGUAUGUGGACGCCACUGACAAGCUAUCUACAUACGAAAAGAUACUUGUUUAAAUAAAUAUGCUUUAAUUGGACGACUUCCGGAUGUGCCGGAGGUACAACAGUCUAUCUAAAUAAUUUGACGAAACUUUGACGAGAUAAAAACGUUUGAUUGUAUUUUUGUCCGUUUUCUUAAAGAAUUCUAGAAAACGUCUGCAAUGACACCCACAAAUGACUAUUUAAAUCAUAUUGCUAACAUUUUAGAUGCCACUGUUUUCCUCCUAAAGUUGACUUCCUUGAAAGUAAAUCUAUUACAUUAAGUAACUUUUCAAAAAUGGCAUCUGCAGGUAAGGAGCCAACAGCGGUUGUGUUGGUAAAAAAUAACGUUAACGUGAAAUUGACAGCGUCAAACAUUGUGGAUGUUAGUGCCAAAAUAUGCACAUACCUUUAUAUUACAGGUACGCCUAGUUAAAUUACUUGUUUGCAUGUUUUGUUUUGG